AAAAAAUAAUAACAAAAUAUAACAAAAAACACAGCAACAAAUCUUUGAAAAACAAAACAUUUGCAAAUUAGUAUAAAACGCUCAUAAAAUUUGUCACUUACAUUCUUCCGCAAAAAGAAACGCUAUCGAUUUUACGAGACUAAGUUAUACUAAAUAAAGCAGAACUGGUUUGCCGUUAUAAGCGUUCGUGUGUGUGCGUGUGUGUAUUGCUAUAGGUGGCGCGUGUGGCAAAUCUACGUUCCGAUCAAUUUUACAAAUGGAUUACACCUUCGAUUCGCAAUCGCAAUCUGGACGGUAUACAGUAGCAAUUGCAGCCACCACCAACAACAACGGUAUAUUGCUUCAUGCAAACACAGUAAUACCAACAAUUACAACAACAACAGCGGUGAAAGCAACAAUCGCCAUCACAAAAGUAGCUGGUACUACGUGCGCCAUAAAACAGUUAGACUGGCAGGAAGCGAACAAAUAUUGAAAUCGCUCUUAAAUUUUUAAUUUAUGUGAAGCCUCAUUCAAACACCAACAAAGUCAAAAUUCCAAAUUUAAACUCUAUAUCUACUCUGAAAGCGAAGUAACAGCACACAUUCAAACACUUCUUCAGCGAAUAGUAAAAACAAAAUAACUUUGGCUCUUCCCCUUCUUUCAACAUACAUGAAACUGACAACCUACUUAGAAAAAACACUUGUUGGACCAAAAACAAAUGCAGCUAAUCAGACGCUACUUAAUAAAAAGUUAAGGACACUAAAGUAAAAUUUCGCGGUAAAAAAGUAUAAACACUCGAAAAUCAUAAAGUCUAUUGUGAAAAAAAAGUGGUAAAAUAGAAUUUGCAUUUGCAAAAAAUUAAACAUUCAGCAUAAAAACCAAAGUUCUACAACAAAUUGGUGUUUAAAAAAGAAUAGUCUAUGUUUGCGUUGAAAGCUUUUUGAAAAUGAAAGCGAUUUUCCGUUAAAUACUUGCCUUGAAAAACUUAGUUUACUUUGAAGUAAGUAAAAGCUUUCCCAAGUGAAAGUUUAAGCCGAACGUUAUGCUAAUGAGAAACCGAAAGCUCUUUUAAAGUCAAAGUUCAUUUCAUUAAAUGCAAAAGCUCGCUAACUGCAAAAGCUUUUUUUUAAUUGUACUGCAUUGGAAGCAAAACUCGUUUCGUUCGAAAACUCUGUUAGAAUCACAUUUCACAGCGUGUCCUCACCUCAGUCUCUCACACUUCUCGUACAUUAUCUAGAUAAAUUUUAUUUUCACAAGCAACUCUUAAUUUCGUGCGGUUUACUCUAUUUCGCGUGUGCGUGUGUUAUUUUAAAUAGAAAAUAAAAUUGAAAAAGAAAUUAUAUACAAAAUUUUAAAUGCAACUAAUAUUAUUUGAAGCAAAACAAAAAAAAACGAAAGUGUGUUCGCAGCAAAAUCUUUGAAAAUCAAAUCGUGUCCACUUUGUGAAAAUAUAACGCGUAACAAGCCAGAACAUAAAUCACAACAACUGCUAAUUAUAACGGUUGCAUAUAAAAGAUAUCGCCAACAAAAGCAAACAGCUGCAACAACCAAUCAACCGGCCAACCAAGCAACCAACAACAACCGGCAACACGGCCAAGCAAAAUUGUUAUCUUAUGGAUUGCUGGACGGGUAACGCCCGACUGGCGAGUGUUUUAGUUUAAGG